CAUCAGUAAGGCGGAAGAAAAGGAAACUAUCAAAGGAUUCCCCUAGUAACGGGCGAGUGAAGCGGGAUGAGCUCAAAUUUAAAAUCUGGCUGGUUUACUAGUCCGAAUUGUAGAUUAAAGAAGCGUUUUCGGUGGCAGCCUGGGUAUAAAUCCUUGGGAAUAGGGUAUCAUAGAGGGUGAGAAUCCCGUCUUUGACUCAGUGAAUGCUACUAUGUGAUACGUUUUCAAAGAGUCGAGUUGUUUGGGAAUGCAGCUCAAAAUGGGUGGUAAAUUUCAUCUAAAGCUAAAUAUUGGCGAGAGACCGAUAGCGAACAAGUACCGUGAGGGAAAGAUGAAAAGAACUUUGAAAAGAGAGUUAAACAGUACGUGAAAUUGUUGAAAGGGAAACGUUUGACACCAGUCAUGCGGGUGGAAAAUCAGUCUUUUAGAGUAGGGAGUGGUGGGGGUUCAGACCGCAAGGCUGGCCUUUAUCUCAUCUCUGCGCUAAUGGAUGCACUUUUUCAUUUGCAGGUCAACAUCAGUUUCUUCUGCUGGACAAAACUCCGAGAGAAGGUAGCAGCUUUGGCUGUGUUAUAGCUCUGGAGCGAUACAGUGGAGGGGACAGAGGUUUUCGCAGUGUGUGCUCUCGGGCAAGGUUGAUUGGGUGCUAUGUGAUCGUUCGGUGUACAAUGCAUGCAUUUUGCGCCGUGUCUUUUGCAUACUCGCCUGACUCGACUCUUCCACGCUUAGGAUGUUGACUUAAUGGUUUUAAACGACCCGUCUUGAAACACGGACCAAGGAGUCUAACAUAUAUGCAAGUGUUUGGGUGGCAAACCCAUACGCGUAAUGAAAGUGAACGUAGGUGCCAUCCGCAAGGUGCAGCAUCGACCGAUCUUGAUAUUUUUGGAUAGAUUUGAGUAAGAGCAUAUAUGCUGGGACCCGAAAGAUGGUGAACUAUGCCUGAAUAGGGUGAAGCCAGAGGAAACUCUGGUGGAGGCUCGUAGCGAUUCUGACGUGCAAAUCGAUCGUCAAAUUUGGGUAUAGGGGCGAAAGACUAAUCGAACCAUCAGAGUUCCAC
rnacentral:rRNA from 1 species